rnacentral:rRNA from 2 species
GUCGUCAGCUCGUGUCGUGAGAUGUUGAGUUAAGUCCUGCAACGAGCGCAACCCUUAUUAUCAGUUGCCAGCAUUCAGUUGGGCACUCUGGUGAGACUGCUGGUGACAAACCGGAGGAAGGUGGGGAUGACGUCAAAUCAUCAUGCCCCUUAUGACCUGGGCUACACACGUGCUACAAUGGACGGUACAACGAGUCGCGAAGUCGUGAGGCCAAGCUAAUCUCUUAAAGCCGUUCUCAGUUCGGAUUGUAGGCUGCAACUCGCCUACAUGAAGUUGGAAUCGCUAGUAAUCGCGGAUCAGCAUGCCGCGGUGAAUACGUUCCCGGGA